UUUAACCAGGCGUACAUACAAAAGUUAGUUCCCAAGCACAACAAACGAAAAUCGAAUCGCCGGUUUGCAAUAUAGAUUUUUUUCUCUCAAUAUUUUCAUAUAACCGUUGAUUGUUAAAAAAUAAAACUCUCCUUUUUUCUAAAUGUUUAGUUUAAAUUCUUUAUUUCAGUCGUAUUUCAGGACCAACAUGAUGAAAACGUUACAUUUGGGGAAAUCAUUUCCAUCGACUGUGCCGUAGAUUCGCAUCCACUGAUAACUGAGUUAACAAAACUAACUUGGUCAAUUAAUGGAAGCUGUGUAAAUAUUAAUAACACAAUGAAAUAUCUUCAACCAACACCAACGAAGCUGACAAUACAAAAUGCCAGGUUUAGUGACCAAGGCAUGUACACAUGCGCAGUUGAGAACGAUAAGGGGAACGGAACUAAUAGUGGACUUUGGCUUUAUGUAAUUGGAGACUUCCCGAAUGUCCACAGUAGUAUAAUUUACAACACAGUUCAAUACUCAGCGGUUAUAAGCGUAAACGAGUCAUCAACACUUAUACUGACUUGUAGUUAUGAAUCCUUCCCACCUGCAACAGGUCUAGAAUGGCAAAAACAAACAGUUAAUAUUAACCCGACGUUGUCAGAAAGAACCACUGGCGGCUAUUUGAAUGACCCAAACAUCACUUUCACAUCGGUAGAAAAAUCUGACGAAGGAAAUUAUACGUGCUUUGUCACAAAUGCCGUAGGUAGACGUGCUGGAAACUCAGUAUAUAUACAAGUGAAUGAAUCUAUAGAUAUGUGCACAUGUCCCUGUUCUUUCAAAAAAAAGAUCAAUUUUUGGAAAAUGAAAAAUUUUACUAAGGAAGAAAUGUUAGCCUAUAUGGAACCGUCCUUAAAAAAGGUCCUUGACGAAAUGAAGCUCGAAAAGGAAAAAUUGUCACAAUCCAUUCGUAAACGUACCAGUGCAAAAGAUGACAGGAAAUCGUCCACGCAGAUUGGAAUUGCGGGUAUAGUUUUCAUUGUUGCUACGUUCGGAGUGAUAAUUGUUUUCGAUAUUGUUUCCAUAAAAAGGUAUGUGCAAAACGUCAGAGAAGCGUUUAAUAUAACCUAAUCAUCAGGUUUAUACCUUGAAUUAUUAAUAUUGGAAUAUUGUCGUUAGAAUACACUUCCAUAUACACUUAUUUGUAUAUGUGAGUAUAGGUAUCUGGAAUUCAAAAACUAAGUUACAACCAAGUCUUGAACAUUAGUAAUAUAUUUAUCACUUUUUCGAAAAUCUAAUGAUUGAUUCCAGUAUUAAUAGUUUUAGAGGCAAAUUUAAAAUUUUGUUUACGUUGAUACAAAGCCAGGUCGUUUUUGUUUUGCCUUAUUCUAUAAAGAAAGCUUCGGCCAAAUUUGCAAUAACAUCAAAUGUAUGCCAAGCUUUCUCUGAUUUGCAGAAUUCAAUUUGGAAUCUCUGGUGUUUUUUUUUAUUAAAAUCAUUGCAGCUUUGUUUAUAAACAAUAAACCCCUUUGAAUGGUUAGACAGUCAUCAAUAUUGACAGAAAAAAAUCGGUAAAUAAAAAGAUGUGUUAAUUUGUUAACUUGCACACGCUUUGAAAUAAUAUAGAUCUCAACCGUUGCCCCAAAAGAUAUUCACACAUUAAUUCUACUAUGUGUUUUCCUAUUCACUGUCAAAAUAAAUAUUUGGCUACUCCAUGGUUAUUAAGCCCAAUUUUCAACAGCAUUAGCCUCUAUUGGCAUAAAAUUAAAUAAUCUCAAAAUAACGUCAAUUUAAAGGCGUAGUGGUUAAAUUGUGUCAGCCUUGCUUGUCUAAUAUUCAUAUUUUCUGAAAGGAUUUUUCUCCUGAAGCUAUCAUAUAUUUUUUCUAUGAUUUUAACGGGGCAAAUAACCCAAAACAUGAUAUUUUUCCUGAAGAAAAAUUUUCAUUUUAAUUUACUAUGCCACUGCUGGUGGAGUUUUUAUUCCUCGAGGGUAUCACCAGCCCAGUAGUCAGCACUUCUGUGUUGACAUGAACUAUCAUUGAUAUGGUCAUAAUUAUAAAUUAACUGUUUAGAAAACUUUGAAUUUUUGAAAUACUAAGGCUUUUCUACCUCAGGAAUAGAUUACCUUAGCUGUAUUUCGCAAAACUGUUAGCAGUUUUUGGUCCUCAAUGUUCUUCAACUUCAUACUUUAUUUGGCCUUUUUAUCUUUUUUUGAUUCGAGCGUCACUGAUGAGUCUUUUGUAGACGAAAUGCGCGUCUGGCGCAAAUACAAAAUUUCAAACCUGGUAUCUAUGAUGAGUUUAUUUACUAGAGUUAUGACUUGUUUUGUAAAAAAAUAUAGUUAUAUGAUAACAGCGUAAUCAUCCUUUCAAAUGAUUGAUUUUUAGUUUACUUAGCUAGAAAAUACAGAUCAACACUAUACUUUUUAAGACCUCAAAGUUGACUGUGGUAUAGAUAUAUGGUACUCCCUUGCUCUUUUUCCGACGGACGGUAAAAACCCUUGCCAAAUGGGGCGUCCGUUUAGCUGUGCGGGAUGUAUACAUUCGCAGCAACGAUCGGUCAGAAAGGUGAAGCUCUCUGCACGUUUAAAACCCUUGUAGCAACUCUUUGAGGGGUCCGUAGGUGGCCAGUUGCAAUGCUUAAUUUCUGUCCCUACUUAUACAUUGAGAAAAGUAGAGUACUGUUCAAGCAGUUACCUUGCAGUCCAUUCAGUACUGCUCAGUAGCGUUUUAUAUAAUGAUGUUAAUGUGUACAGGUGAAUAACAGCUACUGAACAGUCUGAAUAUAGACUGAACCGAUCUUAUAUGACCGCAAGCGAAUAGUCUGAACAGUACUAAAUUCAACCCAGUGGAUAAGUAUAAAAAUUGACUUUAAGACUGAAAAUGACUUAACAACUUUAUUGUUCAAUCUCCUAAAAGCUGUUUAUAUCAAAAUGAGCGUUUAAAAUGAAAAUGGUUUACUAGUGAUUAUUAAUUUGUUUAAAAUGUGGCACUGGACGUAAAGCAAAUAAAAAUAAAUCAACUAUACUUGUAUUCUCGUUAUCUUUGAAUGUUUGUUUUAUUUCUAUUUUUGAUUUUCGGCCCUGUGCUCUCCUUGUAAUGGUCUAGAGCCCUCUGUUGAAUGGCAGUUAUUUUUUUCCUUAGAUUUCAUUAUCAGGGUGGCAUAUUAUUUAGAACGCUAUUUUAUGUUGCCUCAGUCUUGCAUUGUAUUGUUGAUAUUCUCUUAAAGAUGUAUCAUUCCCCGUAUCUCCUUGGAUACCAUUUACUAGUAAGUCUAAAUUUUAAAUACAGAUUUUAUAUCGACUUUCCAAAGGGCCAAUGUUUACUGUUACCAUCAAAUUAAUUCCGCUGGUAUCCGUGCGUCAUUUAUGAAACUCGCAUUUUGGUCAUUUCCUCAUCUCCUGCGAAACCACAAUUUCAUUUAAAACAAACGUCGGCGGAAUAUUCCAUGGAGAUAAUUAAUAACCUUCAAUGUUCUGGAUCGGACGCCUCGAUUUGUUUUCUAACGAAAAAUGGUUCAUAAAAAUCAGUUAAAUGAGAAACCCCCUAAAAAGCAAAAUGAUAAAACGAAUACCUGAUCCCCCUCAUUUGCUCGAAUCAGAUGUUAAAACGGCCGGCCAGGAUAAUUCUAAUGUUUGCUUUUUUUAAAUAUUUUGUAGUGGGGCAAUAUUCAGUGUGGAACUGAACGUAACAUUCAAUCAUUUCAACAAUACAAUUUCGAACAUCCAUCUUGUUUUUUUUUAUUAUCCAAGCAAACAAAUAUUCUGUUUUAUAAUUACUAGUAUGAUGUACGUUGUGAUUUUAUUAUAUUUUUUAUUCAUAAUUGAUCGUUAUUAUACGUAAAACUGUUUGUAUAAUUUUCUGUUUCGUUUGUGUAUUAUUUUUAAAUUGUUAAAUGUGUCAUAUAGAUGGGAAAGUUCAAUGGCGUCUUCAGAUGACCUGUUAUCAUUUAUCAGCAUAUAAUAAGGCAUAGAUCGAUUACACGAAAAAUUCAAUGACCCAUGUCAAGGGUCAUAUAAAUAGUUAGAAUAUUGUCAGAAUAUCUUUGCUAUUAUUGCAUUUUACUAUAAUAGUUUUGGUGUAUUUUUUAUCUCAACAUUUAGAGUUACAAAACAAAAAUUUAAUAGUUGCCUCCAAUUUUAAAAUUGAUGUAUAUUUUAUGAAUUUUAUUGUUAAUGUUAGUAACCAUAUUUUGAGUUAAACAAACAAUCAAGGUAACAAACAGUUGUCUAUAUCAUAUUAUCCGUAGUUUAUUUUUUUCUCAUAUAAAUUUCUCACUUAUUAUGAGUAAUUGGAUAGUUAUAUUUGGUACAUGGGAUCCUUGCAAGGUCUACAUGUCCUUCAGACAGGGUUCAUCUGACCCCGACCACAUUUCAUGGAUCAGUGAUCAAGGUUAAAGAUAUGUGAUAAUGUCCGUUUCUCAGAUACUAUAAGGAGAAGGUCAACUUUAUUUGGUGUAAGGAAUGAUUGAUAAGUGUACAUGUCCGACUGCCAGGUUUAAUCUGACUUUGACCUUAUUUCAAUGGUUUUUGGUCAAUAUUCAGUUUUUGUGUUAGAUACUAAAAGCAGAAGGUGAACUAUAUUUAGUGUAUGGAAUCGUUUAUAAGGUACAACUUGCAGGUUUUAUCUACCCUUAAUCUCAUUUCCAUGGUUCAUUGGUCAGUGUUAAAUGUUUGCGUUUUGGUGUAUUUCCCAGAUACACACAUGUACUUUAAGUAACGGGUUAACUAUAAUUGGUGUAUGGAAUGUUUGUAAGGUACAUGUUCGACUGGAAGGGUUCACCAACCUUCAACUCAUUUUCAUGGUUAAUUGGUCAGUGUUAAGUUUUUGUGUUUUUAUCUGUUUCUGAGAUACUUUAUGUAAUAAAUAAACUAUGUUUUGUUUAUGGAACGAUUGUAAGGUGUACAUGUAUCAGGCAGGUAUGAUUUAUCAUCUUACCUUGACCUCAUUUUCGUGGUUCAUUUGUUAAUGUAAAGUUUUCAUGGCGAGGUCUUUUCAUUAGCAAUAGGUUAAUUAAUUUUGGGGAAUGGAAUGAUUGUAAGGAAUUAAAAAAAAGAUUUUAGUCCAAAUAGUUCCAUUUAAGACAAAUAUUCUUUUUUGUUGUACCAAAGUUAUGGGAAAAUGCCAGGUGAGGGCUACAGGCUCUUUGGAGCUUCUACUUAAUUUCAACUGAUGAAAGGUUCAUGAUCGUUCAUCCCUGUUGAUAAAAAUAGUUGUUAAGAACUCAUUCUAUGGAUUGAUUUUUUUCCAAAACUUUAGUCAAAAUCAAAUUUGGCGAGGCUUCAACAUUUUAGUAUUUAAGUAAUGUAUAUGUAUGGUUUUUAAUGAUGUUUUUAUUGUUAUAUGAUCUAGAUGUGGUACUUUAUUCAUUAAUGUAUCAUUUAUUUUUAUAAUAAGCCACACUUUUAUCAAAGAAAAGAUUUACCUAGAAUGUGCUACAAUUACCUGUUUCACGUAGAUAAUAAGAAAUAACGUUACCAAAUAGCAUUGAUAGUGCUCUCAGAUCCCUAUUGCACUUACUGUACUUUUUAUGUGUUAAGUAUGUCGUACACAAAUUCUGAUUUUUGUUUAUGUUAUGGAUCUAAUGCAAAUUAGUGGUUUACAACAAUACAAACUUUUAAAUAAACUAAUCAUCCUGUUCAAAUUCAAACCUGUCCAAAUUGUCUGACUUAAAUUUAAACUUGUCACAAAAGAACAUAUAACGACACGUGUCUUAUAAAAUAUCAAAUAAAGACGAACGACCAUACCACAAUACGGUAUAUGAUGUAUGGGUCCAUAUGCAUCAUGACAACAUACAUAUUUCAAAUUACACUUUAAAGUUUUGUAGUUAAACCUUUAUCAAGGAGUCUUUAAAAGAUAGCGAGUCCCUCCUCCAAUCUGCAUUAAGCUAGUUUUACAAGUGCUGAGAAAUUAAAGCUAUCACAAAAAUUAAAUGAAUGGGGCUAUGCCAUAUUGAAGCAUUAUCCCAUAUUUUUAAAUCAUUUUGAUUCUGUAAAGGAGUAAGUAUGGUAAGACCCCUUUUUGGCCUCAAAAUAUAGCAUUUUUACAAAUUUGUUAAAAACGUAUUUUUUUUGGCUAUUUAUUGGAAAGUAGAAUAUGUUGUUACAAAAAUAUGGAUUUGUUUUUGACAAUGCAAUGUACAUGCAUCCGUUACUAGCAUCAUCAAUUUAUGCAAAAUUACUUAAAUCUUCACAAUUUUAGCAUUUGUGCUAAUUUUUAGACGUUUUUUGUCUAAAAUGGAAGUGGCUGCACUUGUGUUCAGUCUUAAUAUUUAAAUAUAUGUUGUAUUUGAUGAUAAUACAUAACAUAUAUAAAUAUUGAGAUUGAACACGAAUACAGCCACUUAAAUUUUAGACAAAAACAUUUGAAAAGUGACGUUUUAUGGUAUAUUUGAUAGAUUCUUCAUAUUUAAGCUGGAAUUUGGACGUCUUUAAAGACCAAAUCAGUUCAAAUGUUUUACAUACACUUAUUGUAUCGACUAAAGUAGACACUUAAGUGUAUAAAAAAAUGUCAGAAAUCUUUCAUCAGAUGUACUUCAAAUUGUAGGGCAAAAUUAGCCCUUACCGGACCUUCUCCUUUCCUGACGAGAACAGUUUUGUAUUUCUGUAAUAUGGAUAGAAAUUAAUUGGUUUUUUCUUUAUUUUACUGUUAUCUGAUGAAAACAAAUAGCUUUAAAACAAUUUGCAUUACGACUCGAACUGUUUUUAAAUGGGACCACUCAAAUUUAUUCCAAAUGAAUGUUUUGAGCUGAUUUGGUUAAAAAUCCUUGAUGCACGGAAGGCAAAUAUUGAUAUCAAGUUCAUAUGAAGAACAUGAGUUUCAAAGAAUAAAACAACAAUCCCGUCCUCUUUUUCUCGAAUGUGUCCUACCGAAUUUAACUUAUCACCGGGUUUUUAUAUGGGCAACAAGACAUGGGUGCCACAUGUGGAGCAGGAUCUUCCGAAGCACCUGAGAUCACCCCCGGUUUUUGGUGGGUUUCGGGUUGCUCAUUCUUCAGUUUUCUAUAUUGUGUAAGUGUACUGUUGUUUUCGUCGAUUUUCGUUUUUUUUUGCCAUGGCAUUGUCAGUUUGUUUUCGACUUAUGAAUUUGCAUACACCUUUUGUAUCUUUCGCCUCUUUUUAAAAAUAACAAUAUCAACAGCAAUAAUAGUGAAGAUAUCUUUGAGAGGAAUUCUAACAGAGUGCGUUGUUCUUGACCUAUUUCUAUUUUAUGAAAGUUGAAAAGUGACGAAAAUAGUUGUUGUCACCGAGAAUUAACCUUUUUAGACUUAUGACGCAGAUAAGUUAUCCUACUUAUAAUAAAAAAAUGAAAUGCCGUCUGAGAGUUCUUGUCCAGUACGUAGAAUGUAUUGUUAAACAUCUUUUCAUUGUGUGGAAUUUUUAAUAAACAUCAUGAGAAAACAUAAUUUUCCUUCUUUAUAUGUACAAUAUGAAAUGAGCAUUUUGCAAUUUCACGAUAGCUUAUGAUUUUCAGCAUUUUAAAAUUCAGCUUGAUACAUAUUUGAUAUCAGACAAACACUCAAUUAGACAAAAAUAUAUGAACUAAUUUACCUAACAAGUAAUUUUAAAGAAACAUGGUAUAUUUAAGACCUGCUAAUUGAAACGGACUUUCAACAUAAAUCGUUAUAUAUAUGUUACAGUGAAUUUUUAUAAACAGGGAUUAUGUAGAGUCCCUGAUUUUUCAGGGAUUUUCCAUAAUCACUAAAAUCAUUAGUGAUUAUAUAUAAUGCCUGAAAAUAACCAGUGAUUUUACAUAAUCACUGAAAAUUUUAUGAAUUAUUUUACAAAUUCCCUGAUAUUAUUUCAGGGAUUAUCAAUAAUACAAUAAUACGAAGAUCCUUUGUUUAAAAAAUAAUAAAUCAUCUGUUUUUCUCACUCUAUUAAGGUUAACGUUGACAAUUUUCAUUCCCUGUCCAUUUAUCAAAUCUAAUUUGAAUAAUGAAAUGUUAUUAUGUAAAUAUCCAGUGAUAUGGUAUUUCACUGUGUUGAAGCACAUUAACUCGUAAACAAAAAAAGUAUUCAAAAUUAAAAUUAAUAAUACCAAGAUUCUCAAUGAUAGUGAUAUCUGCACAUGUAUGCCAUGAAUUUAUUGUUUGCCCAAAACAGCGCCAAAUGCCCAUUCAUGUUCUGAAUAUAAAUACACAGUGCAUGUAAUUUGCUGUCAAACAAAUGACGAUGAAGGUUAUUAAACAUCUGUUUUAUGUUUUCUCUGUUCCAAUGAACAAGGAAUUCAAACUUAACAAACUAAUACAACUAAACGUAUUGAACAGACAGAACGCAUGCUUGGCAGAUUGGGCAUAAUUUUGGAGGAGGCAAACAUUGGAUGUAAUGUUUUGAUACCUAUUCUGCAUGUUGAUCGCUGAAAGGGAGACCCAAAAUAUCUAAUGGCCAUUGUUCAUGAAAGGACUGAAAAGGUUAUUGCCUGGCUACGAAACAUUACAUUUUGCUUUGAUCCUACACAAAAAAUCAAUUUGAACAGGCUGAUUCACUUUUUGGUACCUUCAGAUGUUUCUAAAGCAUACUUUUUUUCGCUUCAACGUGUGGUAAAAUCAUAAUUCAAUACGAGAAGGUCAAGGUGUUUUUUAAAAUGGAUGUUGUUGCAAAACAAAACCGAAAAGAAGAGCAUGCAAAUGACUGAUUGGUAAAUGUGCAAUAGUAGAUGUCAUCCAAAUUUACAACGCAGUUGGUAAAAAAUAAAUGAUUUAUAUUAGAGCAACAUUUUGAUAUUUAUGUUUUAACGAUGUUUUAACAUGAUUUGUAUAACUUUUAUUCUUUGUCUCUUCAUUCCAGUUAUUAUGUAUAAUCCCUGACAUUUGUUCUGGAAAAUUUUAGUGAUUAUACAUAAUCCAUAAUCCCUAAUUAUACACAUUUACUGUAACAUAUAUACGUUUCAUUUCAAACAGUAUUUAUCUGUGAUAUGCAGCUUUGACCUGUCCACAAUAUUUUUAUGAUUGUUUUGUAUUUUUGUGGCUUAUAUAUUAUAGAUCAAAUGGAUUUACUUACUUGCUCAGACUUUUUUCUUGUAUGAAAUUGGUCAAUAAACUGACAUUUUUGUUUGAUUCAGAUUUAGUUUUUCAGUAAUGUAUAAUGUAUUUAUUUGAACUAUUAGCCGUACGCCUAACGAGAUAUUAUAAAUCUCAUGGAAGAUGAAAUUGAUUUAGAAUUAAGAAUUGUUCUAAUAAUAAUAAAAAAAAGGUGGCAGAGAGUACAAAGAUGGCAUUCUAUUAAUUUUAAAGUGAUAUCUUCAUCUAUAUCCAAACAAAGCAUUGGAUAAAGUUUAGAUUACUUGGAUUGUACUAUUAAGUAUGCAUGAAUGAUGCAUGUGACCAAUCGCAAAUCUCAAAGUCUAAUACAUAUUUGUACCAAGUCUUAUUGAAAAAAAGUAAUGGCGUCAAAGACAGCAUCCUUUUAUAAAGUAUGUGAAAUAGAUUUUGUUGUUGUUAUUAUUAUCCUUAGUUUCAACAACGUUUCAGAUGCUGAGAUGAUUUCAUUAUUGGUAUAUAGAUAUUCAAUGUAAAGAAUGGGAGCUUCAUUUCGUUUUCAUAAUAUCUGAUAUGUUGUUUUGAUAUUAUUAUAAUAAAUUAUGUAACUUUCA